UGUGUGCAUAAAUUCGCCCAUUGGGGCUUUCCAAAUAAUCAUAUCCCUUUCUCCCAAAAACAAAUAAGAUUUUUGUGCAUAUCUUUUUAUAAAUAUUAUGUAAAAAGAUUAUAAAGAUAAUCCUCCAAAUUUGGAUCAGUUACAUUUGAAUCUCAAACUUUUAAAAAAUUUCAAUUAGCCAUUGGAUCUUCAGUUUCAUUGCAAUGUGCUUUAGUCCUAUCUAUCUAGAUCCUGACAUCAUUGAUAGAGUGAGAAAAAACCAAAAUAUCCUUGAUUCAGAUAGAUCAGGUCAUAGCUUUAAUGCGAUCUCAAAAUAUGUCAUUCAUUCAUCUACAUAACUCUCAAAGUGCUCUAUCAUCUAUCAUGGAUCUAUUUAUUUAGAUCUCGAAGCAUUCAAUCCUCUAUUAUCUAUCUGCUUGUAAAAAUCUCAAAGCAUUCCAUCUUCUAUCAUUAAUCUACUUGCAUAGUUCUCAAAUGUAAAAGCUCUUUAUUUAUUAUCCAUUCACUUUCACAAAUCUCAAAGCUCUUUAUCUUUUAUCAUCCAUCCAUCUAUAUAGAUCUCAAAUUAUUCUA
rnacentral:lncRNA from 1 species